UACGGGGGAUGCAAGCGUUAUCCGGAAUCAUUGGGCGUAAAGGGUCCUGAGGUGGUUUGCUAAGUCUACUGUGAAAGAUCAGGGCUCAACCCUGAAGAUGCGGUGGAAACUGGCAGGCUAGAAUACGGUAGGGGCAGGGGGAAUUCCCGGUGUAGCGGUGAAAUGCAUAGAUAUCGGGAAGAACACCAAAGGCGAAGGCACCCUGCUGGGCCGAUAUUGACACUGACAGACGAAAGCUAGGGGAGCGAAUGG
rnacentral:rRNA from 1 species